CCUACGGGCGGCUGCAGUGGGGAAUAUUGCACAAUGGGGGAAACCCUGAUGCAGCGACGCCGCGUGAGUGAAGAAGUAAUUCGUUACGUAAAGCUCUAUCAGCAGGGAAGAAACACUGACCUUACGGUCAGCAGACGGUACCUGAGUAAGAAGCCCCGGCUAACUACGUGCGAGCAGCCGCGGUUAUACGUAGGGGGCAAGCGUUAUCCGGGUUUACAGGGUGUAAAGGGAGCGUAGAGGGUACGCCAAGUCUGGCGGGAAAUGCCGCAGCUUAAGGGCGGACCUGCUUUUGAAACUGGCGAUCUAGAGUGCGGGAGGGGUAAGCGGAAUUCCUAGUGUAGCGGUGAAAUGCGUAGAGAUUAGGCGGAACACCGGUGGCGAAGGCUGCUUACUGGACCGUAACUGACGUUGAGGCUCGAAAGCGUGGGGAGCAAACAGGAUUAGAUACCCCUGUAGUC
rnacentral:rRNA from 1 species